CAGCAGCCACGGGAAUACGUAGGGUGCAAGCGUUAAUCGGAAUUACUGGGCGUAAAGCGUGCGCAGGCGGUCCGUUAAGACAGAUGUGAAAUCCCCGGGCUUAACCUGGGAACUGCAUUUGUGACUGGCGGGCUAGAGUAUGGCAGAGGGGGGUAGAAUUCCACGUGUAGCAGUGAAAUGCGUAGAGAUGUGGAGGAAUACCGAUGGCGAAGGCAGCCCCCUGGGCCAAUACUGACGCUCAUGCACGAAAGCGUGGGGAGCAAACAGGAUUAGAUACCCCUGUAGUCCCUGUCUCUUAUAC
rnacentral:rRNA from 1 species